UACAGAGGUCCCGAGCGUUGUUCGGAUUCAUUGGGCGUAAAGGGUGCGUAGGCGGCUUUCUAAGUCUGAUGUGAAAUCCCGGGGCUCAACCCUGGAACUGCAUUGGAUACUGGGAGGCUAGAGUACUGGAGAGGAAACUGGAAUUUACGGUGUAGCAGUGAAAUGCGUAGAUAUCGUAAGGAAGACCAGUGGCGAAGGCGAGUUUCUGGACAGUUGACUGACGCUGAGGCACGAAGGCCAGGGGAGCAAACGGG
rnacentral:rRNA from 1 species